GGGAGAGUUCCAGUUCCUCCUUAUCAUUGUCAACACUCCAACCCAAGACUCCCGCGCCUAAAACCCAGGCAGUGCGGAGGCCAUGAAUUAAACAGGACAGGCUGUGCUUGGUUUCUCUCUGUGCUCAGUGUCUGAAACAUGGAAGAUGCCAAUACUGCUUACAGAAUGAGUGGACGAAUUAGUCUCCAUUAGUCAACUCGUAUUUGUUGAGUUCCUGCUAUGCACCAGGGAUUUUCCUAGGAGCUGAAGAUUUCCAAGGAUGGAAGGAGCUGCCUGUGUGAUAGUGAGCUCCUCAUCACUGGAGGCCCUGGGUCUGGAAGGCAGUGCAUGCCCACAGCGCCCUCUGCUGGACAGUGUCAGAACAGGCUCUGCGUGCCAAGGCUUUUGUACAAGCAGCCUGGUUUCCUGCUUGGUGGAAGACAUUCUGAACCCAGGAAUGAAUGAUGGGCAGUGUCUGGAGAGUUCCUGGGGAGAGCCUGAGUUCCUGCUUUCCUGAGUGUGUUUUUCAUGGCGAGAGGGAUAUCCCUAGAAAGAAGUCUUGCAAGGAAUGGUCACACCAAGGAGGCACAAAGGCUGUGUACUUGCUGAUAACAUUGCAGGCCUUGCUGGUGUGCACGGCGUUCACCUGGUAGCGGCGGCUGGACCCUGCAGAGGGAGAAGCCGGGGUCACUGUGUGGACUUGGAAAGCCCUCCCUAACAUGGAAGCUCUGGAAGCUAAAGGGAGGGCUAGAUCAGUGGUCCCAUCUUUGAAAUUAAAUAAGCCCUUAAAAGGAAGGGGUUACCAACUUGCCAUUAAGGACAUUAAAAAAAAAACAAACCCUCAAGAUUAUUCAAACCUUCACCAUCAUUUCAUAAAAUAAGAACAUUUUAAUAUGAAAGAGCUGUCUGAUGAGAAUCUUGCUGGAGGAUUUCACAGGUCCCCUGGCUGCAUGGGGACCAUUGGUCUGGCCCAUUGGGACAAUCUUGCAGAAAAGAUAGAAAGCCAGAGAUGGACAGUGGUGAGCACAAGGUCACACAGCAAGUUAGGAAUGGACCUGAGAUCAGGAGUGAGGAAGAUCUGACUCUAAAGCCCAGGCUGGCUCCACCGAACAGGUGAGCAGUGUCUGGCUUGCUGCCGCCAAGGGCUGCAUGAGGUGCCAAGGACAUGAAGGAUGGACAAACAUCUUACAAACUGUAAGGUGAAGUGCUCAUGGGAAGAAAAAAAAUAACGUAUAUAAAAUACAAAAAAUGUGAAGUAUAAACAAUAAAAUGCUAUAAUAUAAAUAAAGCAUAAACUAU